rnacentral:sRNA from 1 species
UUGACAACAGUGGCAAUCAAAUUAGUCUGUCUACAGCAUACAUAUAGAAUGCGCACUGGCAGUGCAAGCUCCUCACAGUGUCCCACUAAUGUACUUUCUAAUCCUGUCCUGGAAGGAUCACCUCUGCGGUGAGAGGGUAAUUCAGUUCCUAUGUCCAUUUAAUCAUUUAGCCACU